rnacentral:rRNA from 1 species
GAGACAGCAGUAGCCGCGGUAAUACGAAGGGUGCAAGCGUUACUCGGAAUUACUGGGCGUAAAGCGUGCGUAGGUGGUGGUUUAAGUCCGUUGUGAAAGCCCUGGGCUCAACCUGGGAAUUGCAGUGGAUACUGGGUCACUAGAGUGUGGUAGAGGAUAGUGGAAUUUCCGGUGUAGCAGUGAAAUGCGUAGAGAUCGGAAGGAACAUCUGUGGCGAAGGCGACUAUCUGGGCCAACACUGACACUGAGGCACGAAAGCGUGGGGAGCAAACAGGAUUAGAGACCCCUGUAGUCCCUGUCUCUUAUAC